GAAUGAAAUGAUGAUUUUAUGAUUCCCUAUUGGUUUGAUAGCCGUGAUGAUGGCAUCGACCUUUGUAUUAGCUCUAUCUGAUCAUUC